rnacentral:tRNA from 2 species
GGGGCUGUAGUAGAGUUGGUUACAACAUCGGCCUGUCACGCCGGAGGUCGCGGGUUCGAGUCCCGUCAGCCCCGCCA